rnacentral:tRNA from 1 species
GGCCGUGUGCCCGAGUGGCCCAGGGAACCGCCUGCAAAGCGGUGUAUGCCGGUUCGAUUCCGGUCACGGCCU